rnacentral:rRNA from 1 species
AGUGAACGCUGGCGGUAGGCCUAACACAUGCAAGUCGAACGGCAGCACAAAGGAGCUUGCUCCUUGGGUGGCGAGUGGCGGACGGGUGAGGAAUACAUCGGAAUCUACUCUGUCGUGGGGGAUAACGUAGGGAAACUUACGCUAAUACCGCAUACGAACUACGGGUGAAAGCAGGGGAUCUUCGUACCUUGCGCGAUUGAAUGAGCCGAUGUCGGAUUAGCUAGUUGGCGGGGUAAAGGCCCACCAAGGCGACGAUCCGUAGCUGGUCUGAGAGGAUGAUCAGCCACACUGGAACUGAGACACGGUCCAGACUCCUACGGGAGGCAGCAGUGGGGAAUAUUGGACAAUGGGCGCAAGCCUGAUCCAGCCAUACCGCGUGGGUGAAGAAGGCCUUCGGGUUGUAAAGCCCUUUUGUUGGGAAAGAAAUCCAUCUGGUUAAUACCCGGGUGGGAUGACGGUACCCAAAGAAUAAGCACCGGCUAACUUCGUGCCAGCAGCCGCCGCUGUAA